rnacentral:rRNA from 1 species
UACGUAGGGGGCUAGCGUUGUUCGGAAUUACUGGGCGUAAAGCGCGCGUAGGCGGCUUUGUAAGUUAGAGGUGAAAGCCCGGAGCUCAACUCCGGAAUUGCCUUUAAGACUGCAUCGCUAGAAUCAUGGAGAGGUUAGUGGAAUUCCGAGUGUAGAGGUGAAAUUCGUAGAUAUUCGGAAGAACACCAGUGGCGAAGGCGACUAGCUGGACAGGUAUUGACGCUGAGGUGCGAAAGCGUGGGGAGCAAACAGG